ensembl:lncRNA
GAUGGCACUGUGGGGCCCAGGGAUGGCUCUAUGGGGCACAGCGGUGGUUCUAUGGGGCACAGUGACAGCGCUAUGGGGCACAGGGAUGGCUCUAUGGGGCACAGGGAUGGCUCUGUGGGGCACAGCAGUGGUUCUGUGGGGCACAGUGGCAGCGCUAUGGGGCACAGGGAUGGCGCUAUGGGCCACAGUGGCUGCGCUAUGGGGCACAGGGAUGGCGCUGUGGGACAGAAUGGUGGCACUAUGGGGCACAGUGGCAGCGCUAUGGGGCACAGCGGUGGUUCUAUGGGGCACAGGGAAGCCGCUAUGGGGCACAGUGGCGGCGCUAUGGGGCGCAGAGACAGCGCUAUGGGGCACAGGGAUGGCUCUAUGGGGCACAGCGGUGGUGCUAUGGGGCACAGUGGCAGCGCUAUGGGGCACAGUGACGGCGCUAUGGGGCACAGGGAUGGCUCUGUGGGGCACAGCGGUGGUGCUAUGGGGCACAGUGGCAGCGCUAUGGGGCACAGUGGCAGCACUAUGGGGCGCAGUGACAGCGCUAUGGGGCACAGGGACAGCGCUAUGGGGCACAGGGAUGGCUCUAUGGGGCACAGCGGUGGUGCUAUGGGGCACAGUGGCAGCGCUAUGGGGCACAGUGACGGCGCUAUGGGGCACAGGGAUGGCUCUGUGGGGCACAGCGGUGGUGCUAUGGGGCACAGUGGCAGCGCUAUGGGGCACAGUGGCAGCACUAUGGGGCGCAGUGACAGCACUAUGGGGCACAGGGAUGGCUCUAUGGGGCACAGCGGUGGUGCUAUGGGGCGCAGUGGCAGCGCUAUGGGGCACAGCGGUGGUUCUAUGGGGCACAGGGAUGGCGCUAUGGGGCACAGUGACGGCGCUAUGGGGCACAGGGAUGGCUCUAUGGGGCACAGUGGCAGCGCUAUGGGGCACAGUGGCAGCACUAUGGGGCGCAGUGACAGCACUAUGGGGCACAGCGGUGGUGCUAUGGGGCACAGCGGUGGUGCUAUGGGGCGCAGAGACAGCGCUAUGGGGCACAGGGAUGGCUCUAUGGGGCACAGCGGUGGUGCUAUGGGGCACAGUGGCAGCGCUAUGGGGCGCAGUGGCGGCGCUAUGGGGCACAGUGACGGCGCUAUGGGGCACAGGGAUGGCUCUAUGGGGCACAGUGGCAGCGCUAUGGGGCACAGUGGCAGCACUAUGGGGCGCAGUGACAGCACUAUGGGGCACAGCGGUGGUGCUAUGGGGCACAGCGGUGGUGCUAUGGGGCGCAGUGGCAGCGCUAUGGGGCACAGCGGUGGCUCUAUGGGGCACAGCGGUGGCUCUAUGGGGCACAGUGGCAGCGCUAUGGGGCACAGUGACAGCGCUAUAGGGCACAGGGGUCUCGCUAUGGGGCCCAGGGAUGGCUCUAUGGGGCACAGGGACAGCGCUAUGGGGCACAGGGAUGGCUCUAUGGGGCACAGCGGCAGCGCUAUGGGGCACAGGGAUGGCUCUAUGGGGCACAGUGGCAGCGCUAUGGGGCACAGGGAUGGCUCUAUGGGGCACAGUGGCGGCGCUAUGGGGCGCAGUGGCAGUGCUAUGGGGCACAGGGAUGGCUCUAUGAGGCGCAGUGAAAGUGCUAUGGGGCGCAGUGACAGUGCUAUGGGGCACAGGGGUGGCUCUGUAGGGCAGAAUGGUGGCACUAUGGGGCCCAGUGGUGGCGCUAUGGGGCACAGGGAUGGCUCUAUGGGGCACAGUGGCAGCGCUAUGGGGAGCAGUGGCAGUGCUAUGGGGCACAGGGAUGGCUCUAUGGGGCACAGCGGUGGCUCUAUGGGGCACAGGGAUGGCUCUAUGGGGCACAGCGGUGGUGCUAUGGGGCACAGUGGCAGCGCUAUGGGGCACAGUGGCAGCGCUAUGGGGCACAGUGGCGGCGCUAUGGGGCACAGUGGCAGCGCUAUGGGGCACAGUGACGGCGCUAUGGGGCACAGGGAUGGCUCUAUGGGGCACAGCGGUGGUGCUAUGGGGCACAGUGGCAGCGCUAUGGGGCACAGUGGCAGCACUAUGGGGCGCAGUGACAGCACUAUGGGGCACAGUGAUGGCUCUAUGGGGCACAGCGGUGGUGCUAUGGGGCGCAGUGGCAGCGCUAUGGGGCACAGCGGUGGCUCUAUGGGGCACAGUGGCAGCGCUAUGGGGCACAGUGACAGCGCUAUGGGGCACAGGGGUCUCGCUAUGGGGCCCAGGGAUGGCUCUAUGGGGCACAGGGACAGCGCUAUGGGGCACAGGGAUGGCUCUAUGGGGCACAGCGGCAGCGCU